GUUUGUGAUGUUUUAUGAUUAGAAUGUAUUUUUCAAAGAUGAUUAAAUGAAGGUCUCAAUUGAAAAUAAUCGAUAUCAAACAUUUCGAGUCAUCGUCGAGAUAUUUAAGAUAUUUAAGAUAUUUAAAGAAUAUUUUUUAUAGGAAAACACUUGUGGAAAUUAUGAAGAUUAAAAGAAAGAAUAAAAAAAAAAUUAUAUAAUUGUUUCUAAAUCUAAUAAGAAAUUAAUGUUUCUUACUUAAUACGAAUAUUUCAUAUUAUAAUUAUUUUUGAUUAUGAUAUAAUUAUAAUAUAACUAACUAAUUAUAAUAUUUAUAAAAAAUACUAUUUAUAACAGAUGAUAAAAUCAUAUAGUUUUUUUCAUUUUAAAUUGAAUGUAACUAUUCCGUAAAAAUUCAAAAAAAGGAAAAAGAAAGAUAAUGGAAAAGAGAGAAAAGAAAAAAAAUCGUUUAUUAUACAAAAUUAUUUUUAUUAUAUAAGAAUAAAUUAUGUAACGAAUAAUAAAAAAUUUAACAAAAAAUAAAAAUUAGAAAAUAAUUAGUUUGAAAUGAUAUUUUUAAUUUAUAUUUUUUUUUCAAUCAAUUUUACAAUAUAUGUUUUUGAUUUACAUGAAAAUCUGUGCAAUUUCAUUAUCAAUUGAUAAUUUUACGUUAAUUUCUUUUCUGUAUUUGAAUUCAUCAUAUUAAUCAAUUCGAAAAGAUAACAAAAAUUCCAACAUAAAAAUUGUAAAUAAUAAUGUCAUAAUUCCAAAAAUUAUUGAAUCAAAUAUUGUAUUUAGAUUGAUGGGAAUUGCGAAUUUUUGACCCUUUUAUAAUCUGCAUUUAUCACUGUAUUAUCGCAUUAUCAUCUUAGUCAUAUCAUUGAAAUGACGACACGAUGGAAAACGUAUAAAUCUAAUCUGUAGCGGAAUACUGUGGUUAUUCACGCCGGAUAUGUUCGUUAAAUUGCCAGGAAGCAGAUCGUUCGUUAUUUGACGGUCAAGAUUCUCGUUGCUACCCUGACUAUUCACAGCGGUGACGUGGUCGUCAACUGCGAGAGUAUGUCUUUUUGGAGCUGGCCUUCCGAUGCUGACGGCGUGCCACUUUCCAUCGUUCAGCUUGGAUCUCGAAGUGUCUCUGAUCCUGACCGGGCCAUCACCGAGGUCGAACACAUAGUGAAUAUGCCCGUUUACUAACUCGACCGCGAUGAAAUCACGUUCACGACCGGCGUUGUACAGAAUUAAACCAUUUGCCUCGCGUGUUUUGAACUGGAAGAUGAAAGAAACGUAUUAAUGGCAAAAGAAAACAUAUAAAUUUGUAACCUUAUUUAUGUAUUUAAAUGUAUUCGUCGAUGAAAUAUAGAAUUCAUAAAUUUUA